UACGGAGGAUCCAAGCGUUAUCCGGAUUUAUUGGGUUUAAAGGGUGCGCAGGCGGAAGAUUAAGUCGGCGGUGAAAUUUUGCAGCUCAACUGUAAAAGUGCCAUCGAUACUGGUUUUCUUGAGUGUGGAUGAAGUAGGCGGAAUUUGUGGUGUAGCGGUGAAAUGCAUAGAUAUCACGAGGAACUCCGAUUGCGCAGGCAGCUUACUAAACCAUAACUGACGCUCAGGCACGAAGGCGUGGGGAUCAAACGGGAUUAGAUACCCGGGUAGU
rnacentral:rRNA from 1 species